AUCUUUCUUUUUUUUUUUUUCUUUUAAAUUUUAAAGAAAUGGAAAAUAAUCUUGCUCUGUCUAGACAGCGAGUUUGCCCUGCACAGACCUGCGCCGAGCAAUUGCCAUCGUGACUUUACGGAGGGCACUUUUAAUUGCAUGGGAUUUAUAGGGUAUGAUUUAUUCCACACAAAAGAGCGUUUUACAGGUUUCCACAUGCAGAAGCAGACACGAAUCCUGGAGUGCAGAUUGGGCACACGCUUUCCUCCACAGCUGCCUUACCUUGUAUCAUGAUCCAGCUUUACGCAUCCCUUUCAAUUCAUCACAAGUGCUCAUGUCAAGAGGGUAAGGAUAUUAACCAUCAAGUAUGAAAAUGGCUUAUUGAAGCACUUGAAGAUAUGAGAGCGUGGAAAACAGGGUAAGAAAAUGGAGGCAGGGCCAGCAAAGAUUUCAGCCAGGCUGAAGUGCAUAACACAUAAGUGGGAAAUGAAAAGGCACCCAAGCUAUUCCCAGGCACACAGUGACAUUUGCAUUCCUGAGGCAACGUGUGGGGAUCACGUCAUGAUUAACAUCAUCUAACCUGACCGACUCGAAACACCUCGAGGACAUCACCCAGGGGCUCUCCUCCAUUUGCUGCAUUAUUUCCAGUUGAACAAAAGCACAUCAGAAAAAAGGACAUCUGAUUUCAACAGACACUGCAAAGACAAAGCAUCAGCAUCGCCCGUCCCCCUGACACACUGUUCCAAUGGUGAGCUGCACGUGUGGUUAGCAACGUGCUCCCAGAUCUCCAGGAAUGAAUAUAUCUGGCCUCAUCUCUUAACCACUGGGCACUGCUUCAUGUUUCCAUGCUUUAACACUCCCCAUUAUCAAACUCUGGUAUCAGAAGUUUCCCCCUGUUUACACAGUGUCUGGUUUCAAACAAUCACUUCAGGAAUACCUUGAAACUCCUCUGUAGCAUCGAUUUUAAUUUUGAAACCUUUUGCUGUAGGGAAAACAAAGAAGAUGAAACUUGCUGUGGGACUGGAGAAGGGGAGUAGUAUUGGUCUCCCAUUAAAGCCUGCCACAGGCAGAAGCAGCACUGAAUUACUUCUUCAAUUUCUCUUUCUCCACCUUACAGCAGGUGUUGUGAGCUCCAGAGCUUACCAAAAGCCUUCAAGAAGACUUACUCAAAUUUGCCAGGGCUGCUGGGCUUUGAGAGAAGCUGCAAAUAAGCACAGGGGGAAUAUUCAAAACAUACCUUAUGUUUCCACGCUGUGACAACGACCUACGCUGGAAAAAAGUUUGUAGAAGUGAUGCAAAUAUAGAUACAAAUUGCCUCAGCAACCAGAGGGGAAGCAUGCAAAAUAUAAAAGCAUCCUUCACUGAUGCCUAAAGGUACAGAAAGGUGGGAGAGACCAGCAAAGUGAUGAUAAAACAACCAGGGAGAAGCAGCAGCUAACUGCCUCAAGAGGCUGCUGUUCUCCAAAAGCAGCCUACAGAACAGCAGGUUCUGUCAUUAAAAAGUUGGGGUUCACCUCCCUCACCCCUGAGGCCCUAAGGCAGAUGAGCCCACGAGGCUGAAAUUUAAAGCAAGCUUUUACAUUUUUGAACCUCUUAUAUAAAUACUAACAACUUAAAACCUAUGCACAUCCCCAACUGGUAAUUCCUUAAAUUACCACCAGCGAAUGGGCUUCUGCUCCUUCUUGCAGUUGUCAGAAAUGUCACCCUCCUACAGUUCUGAUUUCGAAACCCAUGAUGCUAAGCAGCUUUGCCAUCCCAUGGAUUUAAAAAUUAGCAUUCUUGAUAAGUGAAACGACACAGAAAGACGAGUACUCAUUUUUUUUCUAUGCGAAUUUUAGAAAACGAUCAUUCAUAAUAUAUGCAAAUAAUAGAGCACAGAUGCCUUCUGAUGCGGAUGCUUUGUAAGCACAAAGUAGCAGUGGUGUUAUAAAUCAUCAUGUAUUAAUGCUCUCUGCAGGAGGCACUUACAAGGAAAGGAAAAAUGGAUCUUGCUUGCACUGGGGACAGACUGAUGGGCUGAUUGAUGGAUAUUGCUAUAGUCAGUUGGUGAUUUCUUCACAGCAAUAUACAUUAGAGAAUGCACACCCAAGUCAUUCUUAUUGAAAUCUUAUGCAGGCAGUUUAGAAGGGAAGGAAGACAGGCUGCUUAUGUACUUGAAAAACGAAGUUCUUCCUUCAGCCUGGGGGCAAGGUGAGUAGGCAGAGGCAAUAUUAAUGCUCUUUUCCCCAAAAGCAGGCAGGCGGAGAUGUAUAAAAGCUUGCCUGAGGUUGCAGCACUUGUUAAAACCACAAGAUGCAAUAAACAUCCGCUUUUCCAACUCCUGGAUCAAUGUCAUACGUACCAGAGAACAAGGCUCACCUCUGCACUUGUCCUUUAGAAGUUAUUUCUGUCAUUUUCCCCACAAAAAUGCCAAUAACUUCUCAAUCCUAUUCAAUGCCACAGGACAGCACAAGCGAGCCAGCUUUAAAGCAACCUUGCCAGGUACCUAAAAACGUCAGUUCUAGACACAAAAGGUGCUGUUUUCUGCAUUAAAUCAUUUUAAAUGCCUAUCUAAUAGGAAUAACAUACUGUUUGGAGAAGCAGUAGCACAACUUAACAGCCUCUAAGCAUGCUGUAAUCUGGUUCAAGAGCAAUGUGGACAGAUAAGGGCGAGCAAUCCAUUUUGCGUUAUGGAAUCCCCAUGGAAGGACACACAACUAUUCUGUGACACAGAUAACUUUCCAGCUUAAGCCACAUAAGCAAACCAGGCUGUACCACCAUGACAAGCAGCUGAGCAGGAUCACUGUUCAGGUGAGCCCCUCUGGAACAGGGCAGAGCAACCAGGAUGGCCCUUCUGUAGGAGUGAUGGGCGCCUGCCUGUUCUGCUGCUGAAAGCAAAGCAUGCUAGCCCAAAUGCACGUUACCAUCUCCUAUUUAAUCAUUCAGAUUGCUUAAUGAUGUGAUUUUAGCACAGCCAGGAAUCCUCAGCACUCACAACCAGCUGAAGAUGACAACCUCCACGUGCCACCGUGCUGAUGUUUACACUGGUAAAAUAUGAUGCUGUGGUCCCAUUACCUUCCAGAGUACAUCCUUCAAAACCCAGCUGAGCUCACAGACAUUAAGCCCGUAAGCAGGGUACAGGACUUCCCAAAUGCUACCUGCUGGACCAGUAAGGAAUGGAGGGGCAGCAGGAGCUGGGCCCAUUGACAGCCUGUGAGGAUAAAUGGGGACGGGAAGGCAAAAAAUGAAGGUGAGCAGCACAACAAACCUUGAAGUUCUCUAGCACAUAAUAACACAGGCAAGAGCUCUCUUGUGUAAGUGACAUUUUAAAUAAUGUCACGAAGCUAUUUCCACACUUAAUUUUGAGAGAGGGUUGGAGGCAAGCAGGUCAGCAACCAAAAUGAAAAUUUAAAUGGAACGGCGAGGUCCUAGCCUCUAUCAAGCUCUCCCAUGCCCAGGUAACCCCCCAGGCAAACCACCCCUGGCUGCUCAUACCUCGCCUUCAUAGCAACUGAGCAGCAAAUCCCUACCCCUAUAAAGCUACCUGCUAAGGAGCUGAAUUGUAAACUGCUUUUAAGGCACAUCUUAACAAGAGGAUGCUUGACAGUAGUAGGAAGAUCAAAGCUGAGUGAGUGAGAUCCAUUCUCACAGCCACGUCACCAGGAUGUCUAGCACUAGGUAAGAGAAGAAACUCGGAUCUACCUAGAGCUGAGACAGUAGGCACUGAAGGAACCAUCCCACAGCCUCAAAUGAUCUUAAAAUAACAACAGUAAUUGAAGGCGAAUUAUUGUGAUUUUGGUUGCUGGGCACAUCAACUAAAGAAGCCAGUUCCCAAAGUCAGACCUAGCAACAUGGAAGCUCUGCCAUGGUAAGUCAAAGCAUCCUUUGCCCUCUUUGCCAUGGAAAAGCGCUCUGCCUUUGUCAGAAAACAGCCACCCAAGGAGCAGCAAUCAGGAGCUCUGACACAGCUAUCUCUGCUAGGGAGACUGCUGCAUUUUCAGAACUUCACUGAUGAGGCAACUAUGGAGCUGCGUGCUGUUCCUCCCCUCUGCUUCCCUUUCCAUACCAACAUAAUUACAUUUUUGUCCCCAAUCCAAGUUAGGUAGCUUCAGUAUAGCCAAGGGAUUUAGCUAAGUUAUACUGCCAGUACUACGAUAGUUUGUAAGCAUCUAUUAAUGACUACUCUAAAAGCAUUAAGCUAAUUUAAUUCCAAAUUAGGGUGAAGACAUUAUUUACAAAGUCAUGCACUCCAUAGUGCUUUUCCAAACUGUGACCACAUGUCUUAUGUAAACUAAAGUCUUCUAUUAAAGUAUGAAUACAUCCAGCUGUAUACUUAACAUACAUUAUGUAAAGACGACUUAAUAUCUGUUGCUGGUCUUCAAGUGAUGAUUUCUUUUCCCAAGAAUGUGUUCACAAAGAACACCUUCAAAUAUUCUCCCUCUCUGACCAGAAAAAUGGGUGUUCAAAAGGAAGAACAGACUGAUAAUGUUUUGAGAACAUGGAGCUGUGUUUCAAACAAAGAAAAAAAGAAUAUACCAAAAAUCAAUUAAAAAACUCUAUCAAAACACGCUUCCAGAUUUGCCAACGAUCGAUAUGGAAGCAAUAUUGCUCAGUAAUGUUGUAAAAGUGGCAGCUUGAAAUGAAUUGAGUUUUAAGCACUUCAGAUGGGGAUUUCUGAGCUAGCAUAUUAGCUAGAAACAUUUAGCGCUUUAAGACUGAAAGAAAAAUUAAGAAGAAACACAUCCAAGAGAUACCAAACCUUCAGGAAUGGAUGAGAACAAGAAAGAGAUCAACGUGUAGGGCUUGAUCCUCCAUCCACUGAGACCAGUAACAUCCCCUGCUUCACAAACCUGAAGAUCCAGCCCAAACACUCAAGAGCUUCCAUUUUUUAAAGCAGCAUGAAAGAAAGAUGGGGAGUAAUUUUUGAACCCUGAAACCAGGAGGACUGUGAUUGCCACUGCAUUACAGCACUUCUCUAUAUUGGAGAAUGCUAAAAACAACUACAAAUACUUGCUGUGAAAGCAAACAAACAGGCAAAUAAAAAAAAAAAAAA